rnacentral:rRNA from 1 species
GGAAUAUUGCGCAAUGGGGGAAACCCUGACGCAGCGACGCCGCGUGUAGGAAGAAGGCCUUCGGGUCGUAAACUACUGUCAAGAGGGAAGAAACCGUAGAGCAUUAAUACGGCUCUGCGCUGACGGUACCUCUAGAGGAAGCACCGGCUAACUCCGUGCCAGCAGCCGCGGUAAUACGGAGGGUGCGAGCGUUAAUCGGAAUCACUGGGCGUAAAGCGUGCGUAGGCGGCGUAUCAAGUCAGACGUGAAAGCCCUCGGCUCAACCGGGGAAUUGCGUUUGAAACUGGUAUGCUAGAGUCUCGGAGAGGUUGGCGGAAUUCCAGGUGUAGGAGUGAAAUCCGUAGAUAUCUGGAGGAACACCGGUGGCGAAGGCGGCCAACUGGACGAGUACUGACGCUGAGGUACGAAAGCGUGGGUAGCAAACAGGAUUAGAAACCCUUGUAGUCC